GACGUAGGGCGCGAGCGUUGUCCGGAUUUAUUGGGCGUAAAGAGCGUGUAGGCGGCCAGACAGGUCAGCUGUGAAAACUCGAGGCUCAACCUCGAGACGUCGGUUGAAACCGUCUGGCUAGAGUCCGGAAGAGGAGAGUGGAAUUCCCGGUGUAGCGGUGAAAUGCGCAGAUAUCGGGAAGAACACCCGUGGCGAAGGCGGCUCUCUGGGACGGUACUGACGCUGAGACGCGAAAGCGUGGGGAGCGAACGAGG
rnacentral:rRNA from 1 species